rnacentral:rRNA from 1 species
GAUGAACGCUAGCGGGAGGCCUAACACAUGCAAGCCGAGCGGUAUUUGUUCUUCGGAACAGAGAGAGCGGCGCACGGGUGCGGAACACGUGUGCAACCUGCCUUUAUCUGGGGGAUAGCCUUUCGAAAGGAAGAUUAAUACCCCAUAAUAUAUUGAGUGGCAUCAUUUGAUAUUGAAAACUCCGGUGGAUAGAGAUGGGCACGCGCAAGAUUAGAUAGUUGGUGAGGUAACGGCUCACCAAGUCAAUGAUCUUUAGGGGGCCUGAGAGGGUGAUCCCCCACACUGGUACUGAGACACGGACCAGACUCCUACGGGAGGCAGCUGUGAGGAAUAUUGGACAAUGGGUUAGCGCCUGAUCCAGCCAUCCCGCGUGAAGGACGACGGCCCUAUGGGUUGUAAACUUCUUUUGUAUAGGGAUAAACCUACUCUCGUGAGAGUAGCUGAAGGUACUAUACGAAUAAGCACCGGCUAACUCCGUG